UUUUCUGCGGCGUCCUGUCAAUCACGCGCUGGACCCGCCCAAAAGCGUACCCUGCUUUAUGAUUUCUUUGAUUCAGAAAUAGGACCCGCCGCGCUUCACAGACUUCCAUUCAAUCAGACUUCAUUUCGCAACCAGAUGAGUUUUUCAUCUGGCUGAUGUAAGAAGCUUGUUAAUAAAAAUGACUCUAUUGAUUAGAUUAGAGCUCUUUUGAAUUCGUACGUACAAUGACUCACAGAAGCAAAGGCGGACCAACGUGUCCGUCAUACUACAGUGACAGAAUGCUGUGGUUCUUCUUUCAACCGUGAUGUCAGUGCUUUGCCAACAUUCAUCGGCGUUACACUAUAUGAAAGAGCGCGUGUUGCACGCGCAUAGUGGUGGUUUUUCUUUUUUAUUUGUUUGUCUCGCUGUUAGGACGUCAUCCUUUCAUUGUCUAUCAGCCACAGCGCAUCGCACAGAGAACAGCCGCCUUAAUGAGUGGUAGUGAGAGAAUCGGGGAUGCCGUGAGUCGAAGCCGGUGCAACACGCGUGUGCACACAUCCAUGUGCACGCAUGCAUGUGCAAAGAGUAUCGCUAUACUCAAAGGGAACGUUGACAUGUAAACGCAUGCAUUUGCCUCAAACAACCUUCGAAGCUGAAGAUGAAAAGUUUAAGUCGGUUAAGUGGUUUGGGAAACACGCUUUAUGAGGAGACAUUAGGGGGGAACAAAACAGAGUACUUGAGUAGAGUACAAGGAAGACAAAGACAAGAAGGGCAGGUGCAGGUCCGGGUUGCAUCAAGGGAGCUUAUUCACCAGCUGGGACAAAGGGAAUAACUAAAUGGAGGGAAGUUAUGCACACAAUGGCUCCGGCGCAGCGCGGGUGGGACUUGACAUGACUUCUGAGUGCUUGAACAGAAGGAGCGGAUCGGGAGCAAUCGUGCGCUGCUUUGACAUUAACUGGAUCCCCGAUGAAUGUGAGAGGAGACGAUGGGCUGGGGCGUGUAUCCCGACGAGGUCGGCCGCGGCGAUAGUUGCCGGGGCGACCGCAGUCUCCAUAGGACAGACUCAUCGACUCAUCUGCCAUUUCUAAUUGGCCGCAUGGACGCCAGGCAGAUAGCGCCGCCCACGUAUGGAGUCGACGACAUACGGCGUCCAUCAGGGUUAAAAGGACAAUAAAUGAGACAACGGUGAGUGGGGGAGGAGAGGGAGGGAGGGAGGGAGGAGCAGGGACACUGUGCAGAAGGGGUGGAGAGUCACGGGGAGGAAAAACGGGGGUUAAGGAGUAAGACAUAAAAGAAGGGUUUCACAAACAGGGAGAUGUUGAUGUGAACAAUGCAGUAAAAACAAAAAGGCUCUAUUAGGCUAAAUAUGAACACCAAUACAAUGACUUAAGGAAUAGAAAAAUAACUUAAGACCAAAAUAAUUUCCAAUUUUCACUUUAACUCCUAGCCAGAUUGCCAUUCAAUUUGUCAAUUUGUGGAAUCGUUGUCCUCAGAAGAUGGAAAUUUUUUUUGUUGGAAUCAAAUUGGUCCCUCGACUUCAAUAUUUUUAUUCUUCGUGAAAGGUGCUCUGUAGAAAAAGGGUCUUUGCUAUUAUCAUUAUUCAAAUAUCAGUCUCGGAUUGGUUCCACUCAACGAACCUGCGGCUUAAUAAGCGCCGGCCUCGAGCAGAACUUCAGUCCGUGAAGGAGGACCGGCGAAGAUGGAGGUUUAUCUCGGAGGAGAGAGGGAGAGAAACAUUUUCCAUGUGUUGCCCGGUUCCCCCUGAGGGGGGAGUCUGCAGAGAAGACCUCGAGAAGUCCAUCUCACUCCGGGUGAGAUGGACUCUUUCAUUCGCUUUGGUGAUCUUACAGCCGGGAAAGGAAUGGAUGAUAAACUUGAUGGAAGUCCUGACCUUUUUUUAUGGUCGUACAUCUAAAGCAACCACACAUGAAGACCCUGUAAAGACACACACACACACACACACACACACACACACACACACACACACACACACACACUUGAAUAAAAGAAACCAGUCCUUUAAGCUGAAGCAGAGGUCCAGGGUUUCCUUUGGGUGUGGUCACUUGUAGAUUUAAAGACCCCCAUGGAACACAGGCGCAUCUAAUUAACUCGUUUUUACGGUUUUUGAUUUUUUUAAAUUACCUCUGAGGUGAAGACACCCUUUUAGUCACUGGAGGGGAAAUAUGAAACAAAGAAGACAAACAAAAACGGCAGAAAAAAACCUAUGAGGAUUGCAUCAGAUUGUAGAAAAAAGGUACUUUAAAAUACAUGAGAAGAAAAUGGAGUAAAAGUGAAUUACUGAUAAGUACUACAAAGAUUAGUUGUUUCAUGUGUUGAGCCUUGAAAUAUGGAUACUUGUGGACAAAUAAGAAAGUUCUGUUUCAAAAGAAAAAAUGUUUGUUAAAAGAUCGUUCAGUUCUACAAUUGCAGAGAUUCUUCAUUAAAAAGAGGUUGUAACACUUUAUUGAUCUUACUUAAGUCUUUCAUUGCCCUCUAGCUGACCUUUUCCUAUAACGACACUUAAUACGAUAUUUUAUGUAUUCCUUCUUUCCAGAGAAUUGGAAAUAUUCAGUGAUGUCACUCACUAAUAUUUUAAUUUCAUGGUCCGUGUCACUCCAAUAUGUUUCUAAUGGGAGAGAAGGAAGGAAAGAGGGGAGGGAAGGAGGCCAAAGGGGGAGACAGAAAGGCUGAGAGGAAAUGGACGGGGAGAGAUGGGGAACGUAUUAAAGUGAAUGUGUGAAGACACGAGGAUAAGGGGAAGGAGGGGGGGAGGGAGAAGGGAGGCGAGAGGGUGGAGAGAGACGAAAGAGAGUGGGAGAGAAAGAAGACGGGAAUCGUUUCCAUUAGCUUUGCUUAGUUGAGCCCAAAACACUAUUAAUUAAUCUGUAACUUUCUUUACAAAGUUUUCUAUUAUUGUUUCAUCCCCUUGUCUCUCGACAUUGACUGCCUGUGUUAUCCUCAACUCUUUAAAACAGCCUUUUAUAAUCUUUAAUAAUCCUCAUGAUGCAUCCAUGUUGUAUUCUGCAUGUAUGUGAGAAAUUACUCUACUUCCCUCUCAGUUUAUUACCUCAGUUAAGUUUCCAGUUUUCUUCAAUACAGCAUAAAGUAGUCAAAUAGCCCAUAAUCUUGGGUAUGCUUUAGGGCGGGGCUUGACUGUGAUUGACAGGUCGCUGACGCUAUAAAAGAAGUAGGGUAACUUGAUGACUCAUGACAGAACACGUCUGAUACACAGACUGAACACGUCUUAAACACAGUCUGAACACGUCUUAUACACAGUCUGAACACGUCUUAAACACAGACUGAACACGUCUUAUACACAGUCUGAACACGUCUUAUACACAGUCUGAACACGUCUUAUACACAGUCUGAACACGUCUUAAACACAGACUGAACACGUCUUAUACACAGUCUGAACACGUCUUAUGCACAGUCUGAACACGUCUUAUGCACAGUCUGCGGCUGGGACACUCAUCUACUGAAAGGACUAUUCAGACCACUAUUAUUACUACAGGCAACAUGUGCAUUUCAGCCGUAAGUCAUAAGCUUCCAUCAGAGAUAGAAACACCGUUAGAAUUUGUAACAUUGCAGUUUCUGAGCUUAACGCGGUAGAUUUUAUUUUUGGAUUGUGUGCGUCUGACACUUGCAGCGUGUGUUUCCGUCUGAAGAAGAGCGGCGGCAGGUUUUUAGCUGGCGGGAAAAAGCGUCCCGUGGUUCUUCGGAUUGAUCGUCGCCAGAAUCAACAGUAUACAGAAGCCGAGGUGUUGUCGGGGCCGGUGCUGACUGCGUGCCGCCCAUCUGUCUCUGAUCUCUCCAUAGCUUCAGGACUCAUACGAUAUCCAUGACUCAGAGAUGUGUUGAGAACAUUCACACACACACAGACCUCAAUCUGCCAGCUCCAUAACCGAGAGAUCAGUCAAGUCAACAGGCGUAAAGCUUAGAGAUAACUUCGUCUGACUCUCUGCUUCUCACUUUACUUCUCAAAGACUAACCUAGUUUUGUUUUGCGUUGACUCGCUCCGCUGACAGAUAUACCCGACUUUGUUUUAGAUUAAAAUGACACCGCUUUUUAUUAGCAGAUUUAAAGCUGCGUAGUCACAAAGGGUGCUUUGGAAUCAUCAAUGUGGUAACUUCUUGUAUUGUUGUCUUCAGCUCCAUGUGGCCUGAAGUCCACCUAGAUCUCACUGGAUGAACAGAACUUAUUCAGACAGCACUCACGGAGCAAAUACUGGAGGAUCGUAACGUAUCACCUGCAUCAGAAGAACUUCCAGCAUUGUUGGGAAAGGUCAGAAGAGGUCACCGGGGAGUAUUCACACUGAAAUAUCACAACAAAAAUGUCAGAUAAUAAAAAUGUUCUUCUCUACAAAUCUGGGCAAUUCCUCUCUGCAGUGAAGUGUUUUUACGUAUGACGUAUUUACAGUGCGCGAUUUUCUGGGAGAGUUUAUGGUGUAAAAUAAGUGUGUUGGUGUGUGUUUUGUGUGCAUGUUUAUACCUGCCGGUACACGUGAGGUAAAAGUGUUUACACCAAUACAGAGCUCCAUUUGGAAAAGUGCCUUUUUUUUUUUUUAGCACAUUUAGGCUGAAAAUGUGCUUUGGUCUGUUGUCAAUUACCGCCGUCCGGGGCGCCAAAUGUGUAUUGCUACAAAAGCGCUGAACGGCGAGGCUCGGCGAGGCUCGGCGAGGCUCAGCGAGGCGCUCUCUGGUUUUGGAUGCAUGCAGCAGGUGAGCGUCUGUGCCUCAGAGACGGCUCGAAGGAGGCGCCUUUCACAGAGAUUUGAGAGCAUCGGGGGCCAAUCGACGCAUCGCGGCAUGCGCGGAACGUUCCCGCUGAUCCGAUCGUCCGAGGCGCCACAGUCCUGUCUGACAGAUGAAGUAACACUCAAACAAUUCAUGACCUUAAAAACCCCCCCGAAGAAAUGAUAUUCAUCAAGAUUCACUCGGCCGCGUGCCGGCGAAGAAACAAAUAUCACACGUUGUGAUUCAGCAUUCAGACCCCUUCAAAAGGUCAUGUUUCCAAUUUUCAAUCCAAAUAUCUCACUGCUCAAGGUGUCGUUCCAAAUCGGCCAAAGAAAGUGACGAAUCCCGCACCCCCCACCCCCUCCGAAGACACCGUUAUCUGGAUAGUGCACCGAAACACGCAGUGGGCUUGGAGGAAUAUGAUCAUUGUUGUCCUGUUUCUGUUUGAUUUGACCUGUUUAGUGAUACGAGAUUUGCCAAGAACAUCUGAACGUUAUUCAGGUCGCCCUUAAUAAUCCUUAAUGAUAAAAUGCGCAGUAGGUGGUGCCGGACACGUGAUGAAAUACCAUUUGUUAUGUUCUGCUGGUCAUUUUAAAAGCGUGCGUGGUGCACAGGGUGCAGCUUCGCUACCUCGUUGUGUGUGCGUGUGUGUGUGGGUUUGUGUGUCGGCGCCUUUCAGUGAGUCAGUGACAAAAAAGUGAGAAUAAAACCCUGAGGAGCAAAUUCAAACAAGAAAGAAAGAAGCCAAACUGAUAAGAGAUGUAAAUUGCUGCUGCGGGUGGAUCGUUGACCUCCGGUAAACACCAAACACACACUUCACAGAGUCGAGAGUGUGUGCGAAAACUGUGGUGUGUUUGAUUUUUUACGUUGCGCGUGGCAGGAAAAUGUUUUGUGGGCGUUACAAGCAGCGGCCAUCUGGCUGUUUAAUAGACUUUUGGUAAAUGCUGCAGCUGUGCUUAACAUGCACAUUCGCACACAUAAUUACAGCCGACAAUCAAGCUGUUUCCAAAAAGAGCCUCUUCACAACGUACACACACGUGUGCAUUCACAACAAAACAGAGAAAUGACGAAAAUACCACUCCAAUAGUCCCACACCUUGCCAAAUGAAAACCCAACGACGAGGACGGAAUCUCAGAUGCCUGGUGGUCGGGCGUCUUUGUUCGGGGACGUCCAACAACUAACAAGUCCAACAUCAGCUUCGGGUCGCAACGUGAUAACGAAGACGUGGCUGAAAGCUUUAUUACCGCUGAUCCCUUCAGCAGUGAAGUCUUGGGUCACUCAGGAGACAUCUCAUCUGCUUUCUCAAAUGUGUCUUCUGCUGAGACAGCUGGUUGCGCUCUCACAGGCGCGUUAUUGUGAUAUCCAUCGGAUAUGCAUCUCAGUCAGCGCUCAUCAAUGACAUAAAACAUUUCCAUUAAGGAGCCACUCUGCCAGAAUAUAAAACAUUUAAAGCUUUUAUCUCAUUUAGGAUUAUUGUUACUGAGAGACUUCAACAUAGGUCAAUUAUCAUUUUCAUGUUAAAUUACAUUGACCCUUGUUAAUAUGCUGCAUUUUAGAGGGCUAGUACUUCAAUGUAUUCAUUUAUUUAGCUUUGGAUGAACAGAAGUCACCACAUAACAUUUGAAAGUCACAACUUUUACGCAGCAGACCGGUGCACAGCGGCAGCUGUCAUCUCUUAAACAGGGCCGUCACACUCACACAGGGACGCCUUUGCAUGUAUUUAUACUUUUUUAAAUUAUUGCUGUGAGCUUCUGUACAAACAUCAAAAAGAGAAAUGGGAUAUUUUUUUUUGGGGGGGGGGGGGUGGUUGUGUGAUUUUGACCUUCAAUCAGAUUGAAAUGUAAAAGCUUUUACUAUUUCUGCCUGCAAAAGAAUAAAAGGCAGGUUGAAAACACCUGAACGCGCGUGCAUGUG
ensembl:lncRNA